AGCUGACUGCCACUUGGGGAGGAUCUCUUGCUGGAGAUCCCUCCUUGAUGAAGCUUUUCCCCUGUGAACCUGGAAUCUUCUGAUACGGGUGAGCUUUAAAGCAUCAGCAUGCUCUUCAUGAUACCUUUUUCCUGCAGUCUGAUGCAACCAAUUUGGAGCAAUUAGAAUUGCUUUGAAAUUCUAUAUGAGGCUUGGAAGACUUGAAGGAAUUUCUUGAGAUUCAUCUAUCAAGAUUAUGAAACCUCAAAUUUCUUUUAGUCUGUGGAAGAUGCUCAGCCCCUGGCAUGAAGAAUAGGACAUCCCAACUUUACUGCAUGUAUUGGUAUCGUGAAUGUAGCAGGUGAAAUUCAGUCUGGUUUUGAUCAUUGCAAAGCCAGAAAUCAGGCAGAGUGUGUUGAAUAGUGAUUACUGAUCUAUAUAAUAUGCAUCUUCUUUGAAACUGUUGGCCCAAAGAGCUUAUUGUGAGUUUUCCUAGCUGCCUCCUGUUAAAACUACUUCUGUUGUUUUGUUUGCGAUCAUGGCAGUUACUCUUUAUUUGGGAGAGAAUAUCCUCUAGAUUUCAAAAUGUAUACAUUGCAUAUUUAUAUAAACUUAUCUGGGGCAGAUCAAUGUCCUGCUGGUGUUAAUUCCUGAGUGUGAAAGUGGAUCUUGCUGAAUCAUGAAUGGUAGCAAGGCACUUUCUAAAAGUGAAGGAAAAAGGUUGUUGUCCAAGAAUUAGUCCUGCCACAAGCUAUGCAACUGAUAACUUGGGUAGUCCUCAUAAGGUAGGAUUUUAUUGCUCGUAUCUAGGGUCCUGGGGCCACCAGAGAUGUUUUCAGAACUCUGAGGCUGUUGAACCUGGAUAUUACCAAGGUGACAGGAUUCAAAGAAUGCGUGCAUCUUUCUGAAACAAGAGCAUCUACAGACUGGGUGGGGCACCCCUUUGCACCUACAAUGAUGCAGGAAGAAACGUAGGUUGUCUUCAGUGCUGAGUGCAUGGAUAUCUUUUAAAUCUUACCACCCUGUUGGAUUUAAAUCCCUAGGGUGAUGGUCAGCCAAGCCUCACAAAGACUUGUACAAAGGCAAUGUAAAUACUGUGAUGUCUUACAGGAGGUGUGUGACAGCCAUUCUGAC
rnacentral:lncRNA from 1 species